rnacentral:rRNA from 1 species
AGCAGCCGCGGUAAUUCCAGCUCCAAUAGCGUAUAUUAAAGUUGUUGCAGUUAAAAAGCUCGUAGUUGAAUUUCGGGGUCAGUAGGUUGGUCGUGCCACCGGUACGUACUGGUCUCACUGAUUCCUCCUUCCUGAUAAGCUGUAAUGCCAUUAAUUUGGUGUUGCAGGGAAUCUGGACUGUUACUUUGAAAAAUUAGAGUGUUUAAAGCAGGCUAACGCUUGAAUACAUUAGCAUGGAAUAAUGAAAUAGGACGUUCGAUCCUAUUUUGUUGGUUUCUAGGAUUGACGUAAUGAUUAAUAGGGAUAGUUGGGGGCAUUAGUAUUCAAUUGUCAGAGGUGAAAUUCUUGGAUUUAUUGAAGACUAACUACUGCGAAAGCAUUUGCCAAGGAUGUUUUCAUUAAUCAAGAACGAAAGUUAGGGGAUCGAAGACGAUCAGAUACCGUCGUAGUCUUAACCAUAAACUAUGCCGACUAAGGAUCGGAUGAUGUUAAUUUUUAAUGUACUCA